rnacentral:rRNA from 1 species
GAUGGACGCUAGCGGCAGGCCUAAUACAUGCAAGUCGAACGGUGUCUUCGGACAUAGUGGCGCACGGGUGCGUAACACGUAUGCAACCUACCUUACAUUGGGGGAUAGCCUUUCGAAAGGGAGAUUAAUACCGCAUAAGACAGUAGCUGGGCAUCCAGCAGCUGUUAAAGAUUUAUCGAUGUAAGCUGGGCAUGCGUCCAAUUAGCUAGUUGGUGAGGUAACGGCGCACCAAGGCAAUGAUUGGUAAGGGAACUGAGAGGUCAAUCCCCCACACUGGCACUGAGAUACGGGCCAGACUCCUACGGGAGGCAGCAGUAGGGAAUAUUGGGCAAUGGACGCAAGUCUGUCCCAGCCAUGCCGCGUGCAGGAUGAAGGCGUUAUGCGUUGUAAACUGCUUUUAUACAGGAAGAAAACCCCGGUACGUGUACCGGGUUGAUAGUACCGUAGGAAUAAGGAUCGGCUAACUUCGUGCCAGCAGCCGCCGUAAUAC